rnacentral:rRNA from 1 species
AUUGAACGCUGGCGGCAUGCUUUACACAUGCAAGUCGAACGGUAACAGGCCUUCGGGUGCUGUCGAGUGGCGAACGGGUGAGUAAUGCAUCGGAACGUUCCCAUUGGUGUGGGAUAACGCAGCGAAAGCUGUGCUAAUACCCCAUGUGAUCUGAUUAUGAAAGCGGGGGACUUGGCAGCAUUGUUUGGCCUCGCGCCUUUGGAGCGGCCGUUGUCUGAUUAGGUAGUUGGUGGGGUAAAGGCCUACCAAGCCGACGAUCUGUAGCUGGUCUGAGCGGACGAAGAGCCACACAGAGACUGAGACGCGGCACAGACUCCGAGGGGAGGCAGCGGUGGGGAAUGUUGGAAAAUGGGCGGAAGACUGAACAAGCAAUGCCGGGUGGAGGAAGAAGGGCUGCGGGUUGUAAAACGCUUUUGUACGGGAAGAAAAGGCUCAGGAUAAGAGCUGGGGCUGAUGACGGUACCGUAAGAAUAAGCACCGGCUAACUACGUG